CAAUAGCGUAUAUUUAAGUUGUUGCAGUUAAAAAGCUCGUAGUUGGAUUUCGGAUGGGACUCGCCGGUCCGUCGUUUCGAUGUGCACUGGCCAGUCCUAUCUUGUUGUCGGGGACUAGCUCCUGGGCUUCACUGUCCGGGACUAGGAGCUGACGAGGUUACUUUGAGUAAAUUAGAGUGUUCAAAGCAAGCCUACGCUCUGAAUACAUUAGCAUGGAAUAACACGAUAGGACUCUGGCUUAUCUUGUUGGUCUGUGAGACCAGAGUAAUGAUUAAGAGGGACAGUCGGGGGCAUUCGUAUUUCAUUGUCAGAGGUGAAAUUCUUGGAUUUAUGAAAGACGAACUUCUGCGAAAGCAUUUGUCAAGGAUGUUUUCAUUA
rnacentral:rRNA from 1 species